rnacentral:rRNA from 1 species
GAUGAACGCUGGCGGCGUGCCUAACACAUGCAAGUCGAGCGAACAGACGAGGAGCUUGCUCCUCUGACGUUAGCGGCGGACGGGUGAGUAACACGUGGAUAACCCACCUAUAAGACUGGGAUAACUUCGGGAAACCGGAGCUAAUACCGGAUAAUAUAUUGAACCGCAUGGUUCAAUAGUGAAAGACGGUUUUGCUGUCACUUAUAGAUGGAUCCGCGCCGCAUUAGCUAGUUGGUAAGGUAACGGCUUACCAAGGCAACGAUGCUUAGCCGACCUGAGAGGGUGAUCGGCCACACUGGAACUGAGACACGGCCCAGACUCCUACGGGAGGCAGCAGUAGGGAAUCUUCCGCAAUGGGCGAAAGCCUGACGGAGCAACGCCGCGUGAGUGAUGAAGGUCUUCGGAUCGUAAAACUCUGUUAUUAGGGAAGAACAAAUGUGUAAGUAACUAUGCACGUCUUGACGGUACCUAAGCAGAAAGCCACGGCUAACUACGU